rnacentral:rRNA from 1 species
GUGGCUCGACUCACUCCAACCCCUGUGACAUACCACUUGUUGCCUCGGCGGAUCAGCCCGCUCCCGGUAAAACGGGACGGCCCGCCAGAGGACCCCUAAACUCUGUUUCUAUAUGUAACUUCUGAGUAAAACCAUAAAUAAAUCAAAACUUUCAACAACGGAUCUCUUGGUUCUGGCAUCGAUGAAGAACGCAGCAAAAUGCGAUAAGUAAUGUGAAUUGCAGAAUUCAGUGAAUCAUCGAAUCUUUGAACGCACAUUGCGCCCGCCAGUAUUCUGGCGGGCAUGCCUGUUCGAGCGUCAUUUCAACCCUCAAGCACAGCUUGGUGUUGGGACUCGCGUUAAUUCGCGUUCCUCAAAUUGAUUGGCGGUCACGUCGAGCUUCCAUAGCGUAGUAGUAAAACCCUCGUUACUGGUAAUCGUCGCGGCCACGCCGUUAAACCCCAACUUCUGAAUGUUGACCUCGGAUCAGGUAGGAAUACCCGCUGAACUUAAGCAUAUCAAAGCCGGGGGAGAAAG